AGUGAACGCUGGCGGCAGGCCUAAUACAUGCAAGUCGAACGGCAGCACAGCAGAGCUUGCUCUGUGGGUGGCGAGUGGCGGACGGGUGAGGAAUACAUGGGAAUCUGCCCAGUCGUGGGGGAUAACGUAUGGAAACGUACGCUAAUACCGCAUGCGCCCUAAGGGGGAAAGCCGGGGACCGCAAGGCCUGGCGCGAUUGGAUGAGCCCAUGUUCGAUUAGCUAGUUGGCGGGGUAAAGGCCCACCAAGGCGACGAUCGAUAGCUGGUCUGAGAGGAUGAUCAGCCACACUGGAACUGAGACACGGUCCAGACUCCUACGGGAGGCAGCAGUAGGGAAUAUUGGACAAUGGGGCAACCCUGAUCCAGCCAUGCCGCGUGAGUGAAGAAGGCCUCGGGUUGUAAAGCUCUUUUGUCCGGAAGAAAAGCAAUCGGUUAAUACCCGGUUGUUCUGACGGUACC
rnacentral:rRNA from 1 species